GAUGAACGCUGGCGGCAUGCCUAAUACAUGCAAGUCGAACGAGAGGAAGGAAAGCUUGCUUUUCUGAAUCUAGUGGCGAACGGGUGAGUAACACGUAGGUAACCUGCCCAUGUGCCCGGGAUAACUUCUGGAAACGGAUGCUAAAACCGGAUAGGUAGCAGACAAGCAUUUGACUGCUAUUAAAGUGGCUAAGGCCAUGAACAUGGAUGGACCUGCGGUGCAUUAGCUAGUUGGUGAGGUAACGGCCCACCAAGGCGACGAUGCAUAGCCGGCCUGAGAGGGCGGACGGCCACAUUGGGACUGAGACACGGCCCAAACUCCUACGGGAGGCAGCAGUAGGGAAUUUUCGUCAAUGGGGGGAACCCUGAACGAGCAAUGCCGCGUGAGUGAAGAAGGUCUUCGGAUCGUAAAGCUCUGUUGUAAGAGAAAAACGACAUUCAUAGGGAAUGAUGAGUGAGUGAUGGUAUCUUACCAGAAAGUCACG
rnacentral:rRNA from 1 species